rnacentral:rRNA from 1 species
AGAUUGAACGCUGGCGGCAUGCCUUACACAUGCAAGUCGAACGGCAGCACGGGGGCAACCCUGGUGGCGAGUGGCGAACGGGUGAGUAACAUAUCGGAACGUGCCCUGGAGUGGGGGAUAACUGGUCGAAAGGUUAGCUAAUACCGCAUACGAUCUACGGAUGAAAGUGGGGAUCGCAAGACCUCAUGCUCGUGGAGCGGCCGAUAUCUGAUUAGCUAGUUGGUGGGGUAAAGGCCUACAAGGCAUCGAUCAGUAGCUGGUCUGAGAGGACGACCAGCCACACUGGGACUGAGACGACCGGCCCAGACUCCUACGGGAGGCAGCAGUGGGAAUUUGGACAAGU